rnacentral:lncRNA from 1 species
ACACCCCCUAAAUCACACUACAUCUUGCUCAUUCUUGGUGGGAGCUCAGAGGACCACGCCUGGAUGCAGAGGGGCUGGUACACGUUGUCCUUUGAGAUGGGGUACAACCGUUGCCAUGGUUGCAGAGAUGCCAGCUACCUGUGAGCCCAUUGAUAGGACUUCAUUUACCAAGGUGAUCUAAGUGCUACUGGAUGUGGAAUCUGCCGGCAGUGGAGACCAGGAACACUCAGGACAGCCCAUGUUCAAUGACCUCCUGAGAUGGGGGCACAAAGCUCUGACAUUCACGUCUCCAGUUCCAGAGCUCCCUGGAGGUAGGGGCUCAGAGGCAUCCUUGCUAAGGAAGAGUUCGACCCUCCACUCUUCCUUAGAGAUGUGUCUUCAAAGAACACUCCCCAGUAAAUCUUCUCGGUGCAGUUUUGCUUCUCAGACAAUGUUUCUAGGGAAUACAGACUGGCUUUCAAGUUCUAGAGCCUAGGCUUGUUUCAGAGUUUGGAAGACGUCAUGGAAUCAUAAGGUUUUGGGGAAAGAGAUCAUGUGUAAGAGUAACAGUAGCUUCCCUCCUAAAGACGAAACAAAAGAAAAAACAAAACAAAACAAAAAUUAGGAGAAAAAAUUUCCCCAGUGAAUUUUCUUAUAUUAUUUUGCUAUAACCCUCUUUAUCCCUAAUGAUGUUUUUGCUUGAAAACCUACUUUUCCCCCCUGAUGUUAACAUAACUAUUCCAGUUUUAUUGGCUUUAGUGGUAGGUAGCAUCUGGAAAGUCCAAAACCCUUUAAUGCAUGAGUUUUGUUUUCGUUAAUGUUAAUUUGGGUAGAAAGCUUAUUUUUUGUUACAAAUUUCCAAAGGCGUCUCAGCUCUCAGCCUGGUCUUCUCGGCACCAGCGCAUUUCCUGUGGGCAUGAGUGUGAGGUUGCUUUUCUUACCCCUCAUGGUAGGGCAGGAGUCGUCUGGAGCCCAGGUCUGUGUCAUGGGACCGGGGUUUUUCAUUAAGACCAUGAAAAUAAAAGUUCAUCAAAUCUGCUCUUAAGGCAAAAAUGAUUUCACUACCAUUCUCGCUUCUCCUGUUUUCGACUUUCCCUUAGCUUUGGGGCUGGUAAUUCCUUAUGAUGUCGUAAAGAGGUUUUUAAGAAUUAAAAAAAUUAUUCAUAAUUUGUAGCUGUUUUCAGGGUUUCGUCUGUGCCCAUAACCUGCCAUGUUACUGGAAAUGGAACUCCUAGAGGUACAUUUUUAAAGAAAGAUUGUUGAUAAUGGUGAAAUGUCAUUAACCACUCAUUUUGCAUAUGCACAGAACUUGUUUAGCUAAUGUGAUGUAAAUAUCCACUCUGAUUUUGGCAGGACAGACUAUAGAAUUCUGAAGCUCCAUCAUGUUCCUUUUAAUUAAUUUCAUGAGAGAGAGACAGACAGCGAGAAAGA